GUGAGUAUGGGAAGAGUCUUGCUGAUGGGUUUUUCCAUGUUGAUAUUUAUUCAGAGGAGAAAUGAUGACUCUGUCACAAGGGAGAACAUUCCUCCACAUUCCUAAAAUGAUGGCAGAUGGAUGAAUGAAUGAGCGAAUACAAUAGGCAAAGCAGUGGCAACAAACAGAAAGCACUUCCCUUCCCAAGUGGAUGGAAAACUGUGUCAUUUCCAGCUAACCUUGGCUCUUGCAAGAAAAAACAAGAGGACCAGAGAAUUUCACAUCUGAAAGAGACUUGUGUGGCUCCAUUGAAUUAUGCCCAUGUUUGGACAGGAGACCUCGAACUCUUGCUCAGCCUGACCUUGAAGUCUUUUCGCCUGGGUAGAACUUGGCAGAACGCUGCUCGUCCGAUGCCUCCUUCCGGACGACAGCGAGAAAAGACUUCAGAAGAGAACUUUAAUGGCAAAUCAGAAUGA
rnacentral:lncRNA from 1 species